ACACACAGCGGUAUGUGCAUUGUCGCCUGUGGCCUAUAUAUUUUUUUAUUUAGUAUAAUACGGGAAAUUUACGGGAAAAUACUAAUACGGGAGGACGGCGGGAAAGAGGAGUAAAAUACGGUAGUUUCCCGGCCAAAACGGGAGACUUGACAGGUAUGCUGUAUUAGUGCUGGGCAGAUACGGUAUACCGUAUGGGAAAAUUUUGAACCGGUAUGCGUUUUUCACAUACCGCCAAACCACUAGAGGCGCUGUGGAGUGCUGGCCAGAACAGCACUAUCAUGGAAGCAGACACAGACGCUUGUUAACGCUAGCCAGUUAGCAUAACAAAAUAAAACAACAGCAAACCGCUAUUAUUCCCUCAAAAUAAUUCCCCCACACAAGCCCAGAAACGGACCUGAGUGCAGAAUCAUUUAAUCAGCACAAGAGAUAAACUCCCUAAAACUCUGGAAAUGAGCUUCUGCAGCUAAUAUUCACCUUCUCACAGGUGGUAAUGAAUUGGAGAGGUGUGAGCCCUGAGCCUCUGCUGCUGUCCAGGAGCACCAUGUUUAGAGAGAGAGAGAGAGAUGGAAAGAGAGUGCACUAGCAGAAGCAGUAAGGCUAUAAAAAAGAGAGACAAAGCAGCUCUUGGCAGGGGAGGUGAUUCUCCAGAGGAAGACAGAAACUGAAAGGUCUCUGAAAUGGCGUUUGAUGUCACCACUGCUCUCUACAGAUGUGCGCUCCAAAACCCAACACACAACGUUCCUCACUGUCCUGCUGCCACAGAGCCUACACAACACACACACACACACACACACACUUUAGAUUUAGAGCUGUCUUGUUACAGGCAGCUCUGCAUUUCUGCAAUUUCUACAGCCACCCUAACAAACACCCACACAAACAAACACACACACACACACACACACAAAGAUCACCUCAGAUCCUCCACUCAGGCUUUUGCUCACUUUGCAGGUAAAUCAUAAAAUGGAGGGACUAUAAACCCAACAUAUUUAGUC